AACUACCACUACACUCAAGAUACAGAACAUUUCCAUAAUCUCAAAAUCUCCUGCAGGCCCCAGGCUCAGGAAACCACUGAUCUGCUUCCUGUCGCUAUAGAUUACUUUGCAUAUUCUAGAACUGUACAUAAAUAGAAUUGCACAGUGUGCACUAUUUUGUGUCUGACUUCUUUGUUGAGAUUCGUCCAUGUUUUUACAUGUGUCAGUAGUUUGUUUCUUUUUAUUGCUUAGUAUUUUAUUGUAUGGAUAUACAAUAAUUUGUUUAUCUGUUCACCUGUUGAUAGAAAACUGGGUUGUUUAUAGUUUGGGGCUAUUAUGAAUAAAGCUGCUCUGAAGAUUUAUGGGGCAGCACUACAGGAUAUGGCCAGGGGAUUCUUUGACUGAUGGCUAAAACUUGGUGUUCCUAGAGAAUGUGCAGGGUCAUGAGAUGAACAGACUCAUGCUCAGAAAUUCUAGGGUAUUACACAAGGCCAUCCAUAGCCCAAUUUGCACAUGGUAUGUCGGGAGAGAUGACAAAAAUUUUUGCAUUGUUUGUGAGGACCCAGGAUACCAGAAUUAAAAACACUUGAACAAAAAAUGUCUAUGAAGACUUCCUGCAGCUCCUGAGGCAGCAUUAUUACUCUUAGACAUUUCUUGGUGUCAGAUACGUGGGAUUCGAAGGCACAUUAUCUUCGGCAGCCCCCAGGACAUCAAGAGCCUGGAGUUUUCAGUGCCAGUGCAAGUCCCUCGAGCCCUUGUAUCUCCAUGGAUUCCCGGGAGAUGUCACAGGAAUCUGCUAAAACACAGUUAGAGAAACCAGUUACCGACGAGGUCUAAGCUAAUCCAAUGCCACAGACUGGACUGGGAAGCUGUUCUCAACCCUGCUAGGAAUAAAUAUGCUAAUUAUUAUGCAUAAUACAUAUGGCAGUUAUGUUAAUGAAGCAAGACUCAAUCUACAAGAUUAAGUUCUGUCUUAAGCCACUCUCUUUUGAGAUAUAAAAGAGAGAAUUGAGCAGAGAGACAUGGGGACUUCAUACCACCAAGAAAGCAGUGCUGGUAGCAGGGUGUGUCUUUGGACUCGGGGUUCCUGGCCAGAGAAGCAACUAGUUCAGGGGAAGAUUGAUGAUAAGGACCUUUCUCCAGAGCUGACAGAGAGAAAAAGCCUUCCCCUGGAGCUGAUGCCCCAAAUUCAGACUUCUAGCCUACUAGACUGUGAGAGAAUAAACUUCUUUUUGCUGAAGCCAUCCACUCAUGGUAUUUCUGUUGUACAACACUAGAUAACUAAGAAUUUGUUGCCGAGAGAAUGGGCUGCUGCUCUAAAAGAUACCUAAUAUGUGGAAGUGGUUUUGAAACUGGAUGGAUAGAGGAUUCAGAAGGAAGUGAGGAGAGCUGUUAGACUGGAAAUGGCACAGAUGGAAAGAAUCAGCAGCAUCAGAGAAACAGCAGCUGCAAAACCAGGAGACUGGCACUGGAGCUGGCCCACGGAGUGAGAGAGCUGAGUGCCUGUGCACAGGAGGCUUUCUGGUGCAGUGAGGUGCCUCCAGGCACUUAUUGAUGGAGCUAGGCUUGCCGACCCACAGAGAAAGAGAGGUGAGUGCCUUCAGGCCAAAGUUUACUGGCAGAGUAGGGUGUCUCUCGGCACUUAUCAGUGAAGCUACAGAGCUUCGGAACAUUUGCCCCAGCAGGGCAGACUUAGGAGGUGAGGCCCAAGGGGCCAAGAGGCCAAGGAAGCAGGAAGCAGAAGCUGAAGAGACAAGGAACACAGAUAGCAGACCUACCUCAGCCUCAAAGUGUAUGCCACGACUUCUGGGGCCUCAAAGGGUGGAGUUGCCACUCAGAUGGACUAGGAGAAUGGGGCCUCCCAAAGCCAAGGGAGCAAAGUUGCCAUUCCAGUGGGCCUGGUAGGUGGAGCUGAAGCCCAGGGUAGAUGGACCUCCACCCAGUAUCCGAAGAGUGUGGUCAAUACCAACAGUCUGGAGGGCAGGGCUAUUUUGUGAAUGGUCUGAGAGAACAGAGGGUUAUUUUCAAGCCUUGAAGUCUAAUGUAAUGUGUUCUGCUAACUUGCUGGGUGCCUAUUGUCCCUUCUUUCCCUCUAAUUUCUCCCAUUUGUAAUGGAAUGUCUAGCUUGUGCCAGUUUCACCAUGGUACUUUGGAAGCAGAUAAUUUGUAUUCUUUAUUUCACAGAUGAAGAGGAAUGUUUGGAUUUUGGACUUGGAGUUGAUUUAAGACUUUUUUAUGAUAUGAUGGGAAAAACAUAUUUUACAUGUGGCAAGGACAUGAAUUUUGGGGGGCCAAAGGGUGGAAUGUUAUAGAUUGAAUUGUGUCCCCCCAAAAUAUCUGUCAACUUGGCUAUGCCAUAAUUCCCAAUAUUGUGUGAUUGUCCACCAUUUUGUCACCUGAUGUGAUUUUCCUAUGAAUUGUAAAUCCUGUCUCUAAGAUGUUAAUGAGAUGGGAUUAGUGGCAGUUAUGUUAAUGAGGCAGGAUUCAAUCUACAAGAUUAGGUUGUGUUUUAAGCCAAUGUCUUUUGAGAUAUAAAAGAGAGAAUCAAGCAGAGAGACAUGGGGACCUCAUACCACCAAGAAAGCAGCGCCAGGAGCAGAGCAUGUCCUUUGGGCCUGAGGUUCCUGUGCAGACAAGCUCCUAGUUCAGCAGAAGAUUGAUGAUAAGGACCUUCCUCCAGAGCCAACAGAGAAAGAGAAAGCCUUCCCCUGGAGCUGACACCCGGAAUUUGGACUUCUAGCCUCCUAGACUGUGAGAGAAGAAACUUCUGUUUGUUGAAGCCAUCCACUUGUGGUAUUUCUGUUAUAGCAGCACUAGAUAACUAAGACAUGUCCCAUAUUCAACUAAUCAUCUUUCUCCCUGUACUUGUCCCUUCCUGUCCUGGUGACUAGUACCAUCACCCACUUAGUGGGCCAAUCCAGAAACCUGGUAUUCAUCUGCCCAUUCAGUCAUACUCUUAUCCAAUAAGUCAAAAGUACUGUAGAUUUUACCUACUUAGUAGUUCCCUAAUAUCAUACCUCCUUCUCUCCUUUUCUACUGCCAUCACCUUAGUUCAAAUCCUCACAAAUUAUUUUUUGGAUUAUUUGAGUAGCCUCUUCUCUGAUAUCCUUACCUCUUUCUGGUUCCCCUCUAAUCUAGUCUCAUUGUUGCUAGAGCAACCUUUCUAAAACAUAAUCAUGUUUUUCUGCUUAAAACUAGUUAGUGGAUCUGUAUGUUUUUUAGGAUAAGGUCAAAUUACUUAGGUUAUCACAUGAGGCCCUUUAUGAUCUUGCUAGGUUUGAAUUUAGUUUCCUCACUGGGCAUUGCACCACAUUUACCCUUUCUCAAAACACAAAUUCUUCUCUACUUAUGAACAAGUUCAUUUCUAAAUGGCUGUUUCUACAUUCAUUUGUUUCCACGUCUAAAAGGCCUAAGAGACGUUUAAGCUUGCAAGCCCUGAAUGCAAAAUUCAACUAAAUAAGUUCUUUGAAGAUUUGAAGCCAGGCAUACUUAUUUUUUAUAAUAGCAAGAUAGUACAAUAAAAAUUCAUCAAUAGAGUAUUGAUUAAAUAAGUUAUGAUAUAUAAUUAUAUGUAACUAUUAAAAUGAAGAAGGUAUAUCUACAUGAAUUGAUAUAGAACAAUCUCUAAAAUAUAUUAAAUGGGACAAAAAUUCCAGAACAAUGUGUAUAAUAUGCACUUAUUUAUAUGAAAGGAAAUAAAAGAAACCCUUAAUAGUGGUCACCUUUGGGGAGCUGGACUGAGAGUCUAGGAUGGAUGGAAGACAUGUUCUUUACUAUAUAUCUUUUUAAGCUAUUUUAAUUUUUUACCAUUUACAAUUAUUGCCAUAAAUCAUCAGUUUGCCUUUAAAAUCACAAACCAGGCAUGUGCUUUUCUCCUAUCUUCUAUACAAUCUUUCAGGUUCCUUUUCCUUAAGACCUAUUUCUACUACAUUGCACGUAUGUUGAGGUUGGUAAUUCCCCUCCCUGAUGAUAGCUCCAAGUGCAGAAAAUUCCUUCGCAGCUACAGUGUCCUUAAACUAUAGAACUUAACUGUGGCUUGAGUCAAAAGUUAUAGCAUUUUCCCCUUGCUCAGCCUUUAACUUCCUAAACAAACUCUUGUCUUUGUCCAGAAUUAACAUUAUUUAGGCAUCCGACAUUGAUUUCCCUCCUCUAGUUAUACACUCUUAAAGCUUUUCUACCUGGCAAUCACAAUUCAUUCUUCUUGCUGAUUAUUGUUGAUGGCAUAGUGUAAAAAUGGCUUGGGGGCAGUGUCUGACCUCCUCCAACCCCACAACGGGGAAGGAGAACCAAGAUCAACAGCACAAGGGUGAUUCCUGUGAGGCGGGGGCCAGACAAGCCUCCUCUCUCCACCAUCUUUACUAAUUUUGACUCCACCUAUUUUAUCCCUCACACAGUACUCUCUACUUCUCUGCUGGGUUCGAUAAUUCUUUGCAAUGGCCACACAGAACUCACAGACAUACUCACAAUUAUGGGGUUUAUUAGGGAAGUGAAAGUUACAAUUCAGGCUCAGGAACGCUCAGGAUGCAUCAGGACAGCCUCUGCUCAGCCAUGCUCACAGGCAUGCCUUUCCCUGGCCCUAGGCCUCUGCCCAAAGGCACACAGCUUUCUUUCUCCUUGGGCUGAGAUGCCUACUGCGGUGUCUCCCGCUGCUGGGUCUCGCCUGCCACCACUUCUCACUGUCUUUAGGGUUACAGCUCUCUCUUCUCUCUCUUUGUCUCCUGCUUCCAGAAGCCUCUCAUCUCAGGGAUCCCAGGUGAUAAAGACAUGCUUUCUGCUCCUGGCCGUUCUUCCUUGGUGGUGGUAGGAUCCUUCUCUCUGCUCUGGAAUUGGCUCUCCUUUAAGGCAAAACUGACCAAUCUCCUUUGUGGGCUGCAAUUACCCUAUCACACAGUCCUGCCCAAUCACUUGGGUGGGAGUUACAAGACCAUGUAUAGAAAGGCCAUACAAAAAUAAUCAAUCUCACUGUAUAUAGGUAUAUGUGUGUUUGUAUGAUUGGAUCUUUCUUUUUCAGAGUUGUUCUUAUUACUGAGCAGUUUAUCCCAUGUACAUACAUGUAUCAUUUUUCAUUUUCAGCUACAUCUAUUUUUGUUUCCAUACUUACUAUAUGUCUCUUCCUACUAACACUGUUAAUACACUAGCUGUAUUUCUUUUCUUUUCUUUUUUUUAGUAUUUUAUUGUGUUUUUGGUGAAAGUUUACACAGGAAAUUGGUUCUCAUUUAACACUUUCUAUGCAUACUGUUCUUUUUUUCUUUUUAUGCAUACUGUUCAGUGACAUUGUUACAUUCUUCACAAUUUAUCAGCAUUCUCAUUAUUUUCAUAUUGGUUGUUCUGUUUCUAUUAAUCUAGUUUCCCCUUGCCUUUUCAUCUUUGGUCUAGAGUAAAUGAAACCUGGUUUCAUCUAGACAAUUAUUUUGAGGAGCACAGUACUCAUGGGUGAUAUUAUUUAUUUUUUGGACCAAUCUAUCAUUUGGCUGAAAGGUGACCUUUGGGAGGGGUUUGAGUUCCAGUUUUAAAGCGUAUCUCAGGGCAAUAGUCUCAGGGGUUCGUCUAAUCUCUAUCAGUCCAGUAAGUCUGGCCUUCUUUUUAGGAGUUUGAGUUUUGUUUUACAUUUUUCUCCCAUUCUAUCUGGGAGUCCCUGGUCAGGAUGGUAGCCGGGCACCAUCUAGUUCUUCUGGUCUCAAGGUAGGUGAUGUCGUUGUUUGUGUAGACUGUUGAUUCUUUUGACUAGUUUCUUCUUUGAGUCUUUAGUUUCCUUCUUUCUCUUUAGCUCUGGAGAAGUAGUGACCAAUAGUUGAAUCUUAGAUGGCCACUCGCAAGCUUUUAAGACCCCAGACGCUUCUCACCAAACUAGGAUGUAGAACAUUGUCUUUAUGGACUAUAUUAUGCAAAUUGACUGAGUUGCCCCAUGAAGUCCUAAGCCCUCAAACCCAGUAGACCAGUCCUGUGAGGUGUUUGGUUAUGUCUAGGAAGUAUCCAUAACUGUGCCCCCUAUGCGCUUUAUUUUAUACUUGAAAAUAUAAGCAGCACACAUAAAUGAGUAUAUACCUAUGUCUAUGAUUAUUCAUAUAUGCCUUCCUGUACAUAUUUUUGCAUACUUAUAUAUCUAUGUAACAAACACAUUUUUUGUAGUUGUUACUUUGUUGCAAAACUGUAUAUCCCUCGAUGAAUUUUUUUUUACAAAUUUCCACAUGAAUUGUUCAUUGACAGUUACAUUUAUCACAAUUUGUCAGCAUUCUCUUUAAUUGUAUCUAUAUCCUUCUAUUUGUGCUCAAAAACUCAUCUUUCCUAUGGUUGUUCUAUGCUCACUACUUCCACAUUCAGAGCCACAUUUGUUCUUAUCUUCUUGUAAAGAAGGGAUCACACAAUAUUUGUCCUUAUAUGCUUGACUUAUUUUACUUAGCAUUAUGCCCUCCAGGUCCAUCCAUGUUAUAAUAUGUUUCGUGGACUUAUCAUUGUUCUUUAUGGUUGUGUAGUAUUCUGUUGUGUGUAUGUACCACAAUUUGUAUGUACCACAAUAUCCACUCAUUCAUUGAUGGACACUUUGAUUGUUUCCAUUGUUUUGCUAUAGUGGAUAAAGCUGCAAUGAACAUAGGAGUGCAUAUAUCUGGUUAUGUCAGUAGUUUCAGGUCUCUAGGAUAUAUUCCCAGGAGUGGGAUUGAUGGAUCAUAAGGUAGUUCUAUUUCUAAUUUUUGAGGAAGUGGUAAACCAUUUUCCAUAGUGGUUGUACCAUUUUACAAUUCCACCAACAAUGAAUAAGGGUUCAAAAUCCCCAUGCUUACCAACAUUUGUUGUUUUCUGUUUUUUUAAUCGGUGCCAUUUUAGUAGGAGUGAGAUGAUAUCUCAUUGUAGUUUUGAUUUGCAUCUCUCUAGUGGUUGAUCGUCAACAUCUUUCCAUGUGUUUAUUGGCUGCCUGGAUGUCUUCUUUGGUAAAGGUCCUGUUCAUGUCCUUUGCCCAUUUUAUAAUUGGGUUGUUUGUCUUUUUAUUGUUGAGUUGUCAAAGUUUUCAAUAAAUUUUGGAAAUUAGACCCUUAUCUGAUAUGUCUUUUCUGAAAUUUUUCCCCGUCUGUAGUUUUUCUUUUUACUCUUUUGAUGGGCAGAAAUUUAUAAUUUUUAUGAGGUCCCAUUUAUCUAUUUUGUCUUCUUUUAUUUAUGCAUUUGUUGUAAUGCUUGGUAUUCUAUUUUUACAGAAGAUUAGGUCCCAUAGUUUUCUCCCAAGGAAUUUUAUGGUUUUAGGUUUGAUGUUUAGGUCUUUGAUCUAUUUGAGUUAGUUUUUGUGUUUGGUGUGAAGUAAGGGUCCUGUUUCAAUUUUCUGCAGGUGGAUAUUCAGUUUUGCCAGCAUCAUUUUUUAAAGAGACUGUCUCUGCCCAAAUGAAUGGACUUUGGCCCCUAGCUGAAAAUCAGUUGUCCAAAGAUGUUUAGGUUUAGUUCUGAGUCCUAAGUUCUAUUCCACUGGUUUAUGUGUCUAUCAUUGAAACAGUACCAGGCUGUCUUGAGUACAGUGGCUGUAUAGUAUGUUUUGAUAUCAGGGUGUGUGAGGACUCCUGCUUUGUUCUUUUUCUCCAACAUUACUUUGGUUAUUUGGGGUUUCUUUCCUUUCCAUAUGAAGUUGGUCAUUAGUUUUUCCCUUUUGGUAAAGACUGUUGUUGGAAUUUGUAUUAGUAUUGCAUUGAAUCUGUAGAUCACUUUAGGUAGUAUUGACAUUUUGACUAUAUAUUUUCCCUAUAUUAAGCCUUCCUGUUCAGGAGCCCUGGUGGCAUAGUGGUUAAAGCAAUUGACUGCUAACCAAAAGGUUGGUGGUUCAAAACCACCAGCAGUUCCAUGGAAGAAAGAUGUGGCAGUCUGCUUCCAUAGAGAUUUAUACCCUUAGAAACCCUAUGGGGUUGCUGUGAGUCAGAAUUGACUCAAAGGUGGUGGGUUUGGUUUCGUUUUAUUCACGAGCAUUUGAUGCUGUCAUGAAAUGAAUUGUAUCCCCCCCCAAAAAAAUAUGUAUCAAUUUGGCUAGGCCAUGAUUCCCAGUAUUGUUUGAUUGUCCACCAUUUUGUCAUCUGAUGUGAAUUUCCUAUGUGUUGUAAAUACUACCACUAUGAUGUUAACGAGAUGGAUUAGUAGCAGUUAUGUUCACGAGAUCUACAAGAUUAGAUUGUGUCUUAAGCCAACCUCUUUUGAGAUAUAAAAGACAGAAGCAAGCAAACAGACAUGGGGACCUCACACCACCAAGAGAGAAGCACCAAGAGCAUAGCACAUCCUUUAGACCCGGGGUUCCUGUACUGAGAAGCUCCUUCACCACAGGAAGAUUGAUAACAAGGACCUUUCUCCAGAGCUGACAGAGAGAGAAAGCCUUCCCCUGAAGCGGGUGUGAAUUUGGACUUCUAGGCUACUAGACUGUGAAAGAAUAAAUUUCUCUUUGUUAAAACCAUCCACUUAAAAAAAAAAAAAAAAAAUCCACUUGUGGUAUUUCUGUUACAGCAGCACUAGAUGACUAAGACAGAUGCCUUUCCAUAUUUGUAGGUCUCUUUUAGUCUGUUAUAGCAGUGUUUUAUAAUUCUCAUGGUGUAAGUCUUUAAUAUCCCUGGUUAUGUUAAUCCCCACAUAUUUUAUUGAUUUGGGGGCUAUUGUGAAUGGUAUUGUUUUCUUGAUUUCUUUUUCAUAGUAGUCUUUAUUAGUGUAGUAGAACUCAAAUGAUUUGUGUGUUGAUCUUGUAUCCUGUAACAUUGCUAAAUUCUUCUAUCAGUUCCAGCAGUUUUCUUACGGAAUCCUUAGGGUCUUCUAUAGAUAGGAAACCCUGGUGGUAUAGUGGUUAAGGGCUACAGCUGCUAACCAAAGGGUCUGCAGUUCAAAUCCACCAGGCACUCCUUGGAAACCCUAUAGGGCAGCUCCACUCUGUCCUAUAGGGUCACUAUGAGUUGGGAUCAACUCAGUGGCAGUGGGUUUGGUUUGGUUUAUAUACAGGAUCAUGUCAUUUGCAAAUAUAGGACAGAGUAGAACAUAAAUGAAAAAAGUUUCUUGAGGAAUUUCCCUUCUAUUCCUAUUUUGCUAAGAGUUUUUAUCAGGAAACGGUGUUGAAUUUUAUUGAAUGCCUUUUUUGCAUUGAUUGAUAUGAUCAUGUGGUUCUUUUUCUUUUUCUUUUUUUUUUUUAUGUAGUGGAUUACAUUGAUUUUCUGAUGUUGAACCACCGUUGUAGUCCUGGUAUGAAUCCCAGUUUAUCAUUGUGUAUGAUUUUUUUGAUAUGCUGCUGCAGUGUGUUCACUACAAUUUUGUUAAAAAAUUUUGCAUCUAUGUUCACAAGGAGUGUUGGUCUGUAGUUUUCUUUUUUUGUAAUGUCUUUGCCUGAUUUCAGUAUCAGGGUUAUACUGGCUUCAUAGAAGGAGCUUGGUAGUGUACCUUCCUCUAUGCUUUUGAAGAGACUGAGUAGGAUUGGCAUCAACUCUUCUCUGAAUGUUUGGUAGAAGCCUCCAGUGUAGCCAACUAGUCCCAGGUUUUUUUUUGUUUUUUGGUAGCUUCUUGAUGACAUCUUCUAUCUCUUCUUUUGCGAGGGGUCUGUUUAAAAUUUCUACCUCUGUUUUUGAUAAUUUGGGUAGGUUGUUUGUUUCUAGGAGUUUGUCCAUUUCCUCUAGGUUUUCAAAUUUGACAGAGGAUAAUUUUUCAUAGUAAUCAGCUAUGAUCUCCUUUAUCUCUGAUGGAUUGGUUGUAAUGUCACCAAUUUCAUUUCUUAAUUUGGUUAUUUGCCUCUUCUGGAUUUUUCCUUUUGUCAGUCUAGCCAGUGGUUUGUCUGUUUUGUUAAUUCUUUCACAGAAUCAACUUCUGGUUUUGUUAAUUCUUUCAAUUGUUUUUCUAUUUUUUAACUCAUGUAUCUCUACCCUGAUUUUUAUUAUUUCUUUUUUUAUGGUUACUUUUGACUUCUUUUGCUCUUCCUUUUCCAUUUGAUCAAGUUGUCACUUUAAGUUAGUGAUUUUGGAUUUUUUUCUUUUUCAAUGUAGGUAUUUAUUGCUAUAAAUUUCCCUCUGAGUACUGCUCUUGUUGCAUCACAUAGGUUUUGAUACGUUGUGUUUUAAUUUUUGUUGGAUUCCAGGAAUUUUUUUAUUUCACUUUUGGUUUCUUGUAUGACUCAAUAAUUUUUUUAGUAGUGUAUUAUUUAGUUUCCAUGUGAUUUAUUUUUUCCUGUUAUAGAUUUCUAGCUUCAUACUGUUAUGGUCAGAGAAGAUGCUUUGUAUGAUUUCAAUCUUUUUAAAUUUGUUAAAACUUGUUUUUUGACCUAGCAUAUGGUCUGUUCUGGAAAAUGACCUAUGUGCACUGGGGAAGAAUGUAUAUUGUUCUGAUGUUGGGUGGAGUGUUCUAUAUAUGUCUGUUAAGUCCAAUUUUUUUUUAUGGUUUUAUUUAAGUUCCCAGUGUCUUUAGUGAUUUUCCUUUUAGAUGUUCUGCCUAUAAUUGAAAGUGGUGUUUUGAAGUCCCCUACUAUCAUUGUGGAGUUGUCUAUUUCUCCUUUCAUAUUAUAGUAAGAAUUUAUGUAUUUUGAUGCUGUUAGGUGCAUAUAUAUUUAUAAUUGCUAUGUCUUCUUGUUGAAUUGACCCUUUUGUUAUUAUUUAAUGUCCUUAUUUUUCUCUUGUAACAGAUUUUGAUUUAAAGUCUUUUAUCUGAUAUCAGUACAGCCACCCCUGCUCUUUUUUGUUUACUAGUUGCAUGGAAUAUUUUUCUCCAUCCUUUUAUUUUCAGCCUGUUUAUGUCCUUGUGUCUAAGCUGGAUUUCUUGUAGACAUCAAAAGGAUGGAUCAUUUUUUUUUUUUUAAUCCACUCUUCCACUCUGCCUUUUGCAUGGGGCAUUUAGAUCACUUACAUUUAAUGUUAUUAGUGAAAAUGAAUUGUCUACCUCAAGUUAUUUUGUUAUUUGUUUUUUGAGUGUUUCAUAUCUUAUUGUAUGGAUUUCUCUGUUUUUUCUUUGUAUUUGGGUGCUUUCGUGUCAUAAGCCUUUUUGUUAACUUGUCUUUUCUCCUGAGUGUUUCUUCUUAGCAAUUUCUUAGUUGUUACCACGUAUGUUACAUUACAUGCCUUACAAUUACUACAGCAUCUAGCAUAAGAAUAACUGUUAACAUACACCCUUAACAUAAUAAAUCUAUUCCUGAUAUGCUCCUCCCCAUUUCUGUUGGUGCGUCUCCAUUAACAGCAAUAUAAAACCUGUAUUCAAUAGGUUUAGUUUGUACUUAAUUUUUAAUAUUCUUAUCUUUCCAUUUGGACUACUCCCUUGAGUAAUACUUGCAAAGCUGGUCUGGUAGUGGCAAAUUCCCAGAGCUUCUGUUUGUUUGAAAAUGUCUUGAUUACCGCCCCCCACCCACCCCUCCCCCCCCAUUUUUGAAUGACAACUUUGGUGGGUAAAGUAUUCUUGGUUGGCAAUUGUUUUGGUUCAGUAUUUUAUAUACAUCACUCCAUUAUCUUCUGGCCUCUAGAUUUUCUGGGGAGAAAUCCACACUUAUUCUUAUGAAACUCCCUUGGUAUGUUAAAUUGUUUUUCUCUUGCUGCUUUCAAAAUUCUCUCUUUAUCUUUGGUUUUCAAGAAUUUUACUAGAAUAUGUUGUGGAGUUGAUCUUUUUGUGUCUCUUCCAAUUCCAUGUAGUUUCCUGUGUUUGCAGAUUUGACUCUCUGCUUAGGUCUGAGAAAUUGUUUCUAUGCCUUUAUUGUUGUCUUGGUGCUCUAGAAUUCAUAUAAUUCUGUUAGAUUUCUUAAUUGAAUCUCACAUUUCUUUUUCGUUUUGUUUGCUUUUCUUUGUUCUUUUCUCGUUUUUCUUGAGACUUGACAGAUUCAGAUAUUUUGUCUUCUAAUUCACAUAGUCUAUCUUCUGCUUGUCCAACUCUAUUGUUGAGUGUUUCUCUUGCUUUUUCUAAUUCAGAUGUUUUAUUCUUCAGUUCCAGCAGUUCUCUCUCUUUUUAAUGUUUUCAUAUUCCUUGUUGAAGCUCUCAUUUUUUUCCUCCAUUUGCUUCCUGAACUCUGCUAGUUUGUUUUCUGUGUGUUCUUUGCUUUCUUUAAACAUAUUUAGCACCACAGUAUGAAAAUUAUCAAUUCUUUGCAUUAUUCUAGCCUCCAGAGAAGAGAUUUUCUCUUGUACAUGUUUUGUUUUCGAGUGUUUCUUCUUGUGCUUUUGUAUUUUUUAUUAGUUUUUGUUGAAUUUAGGCCAUUUUGUUAUUUUUUCUUUAAAUUUUUUAUUCUGUUUAUUGUGGGAAAAUUCAAGAGAUCCAUAUGCUUGGUCUCUGGGAUUCAAUACACAUGUGCAGGAGGAGGGAUUCACUGAGCACCUCUGCUGGUAUGUGUGGUGGGGGUGGACUUUACUGUGGUGACAGUGAGGGUUUUCUUUUUUU